UACGUAGGUGGCAAGCGUUGUCCGGAAUUAUUGGGCGUAAAGCGCGCGCAGGCGGUCCUUUAAGUCUGAUGUGAAAGCCCACGGCUCAACCGUGGAGGGUCAUUGGAAACUGGGGGACUUGAGUGCAGGAGAGAAGAGUGGAAUUCCACGUGUAGCGGUGAAAUGCGUAGAGAUGUGGAGGAACACCAGUGGCGAAGGCGACUCUUGGCCUGUAACUGACGCUGAGGCGCCGAAAGCGUGGGGAGCAAACAGG
rnacentral:rRNA from 1 species